AAUAAAUUGGACAGUGUACCCUCUACGUCUAAUUCAGACUGUGUUGCUGCUGAUGAAGACGUUAUUUACCAUAUCCAGUAUGAUGAAUACCCAGAAAGCGGUACUCUAGAAAUGAAUGUCAAGGAUCUUAGACCACGAGCUAGAACCAUUUUGAAAUGGAAUGAACUAAAUGUUGGUGAUGUGGUAAUGGUUAAUUAUAAUGUAGAAAGUCCUGGACAAAGAGGAUUCUGGUUUGAUGCAGAAAUUACCACAUUGAAGACAAUCUCAAGGACCAAAAAAGAACUUCGUGUGAAAAUUUUCCUGGGGGGUUCUGAAGGAACAUUAAAUGACUGCAAGAUAAUAUCUGUAGAUGAAAUCUUCAAGAUUGAGAGACCUGGAGCCCAUCCUCUUUCAUUUGCAGAUGGAAAGUUUUUAAGGCGAAAUGACCCUGAAUGUGACCUGUGUGGUGGAGACCCAGAAAAGAAAUGUCAUUCUUGCUCCUGUCGUGUAUGUGGUGGGAAACAUGAACCCAACAUGCAGCUUCUAUGUGAUGAAUGUAAUGUGGCUUAUCAUAUUUACUGUCUGAAUCCACCUUUGGAUAAAGUCCCAGAAGAGGAAUACUGGUAUUGUCCUUCUUGUAAAACUGAUUCCAAUGAAGUUGUAAAGGCUGGUGAAAGACUCAAGAUGAGUAAAAAGAAAGCAAAGAUGCCAUCAGCUAGUACUGAAAGCCGAAGAGACUGGGGCAGGGGAAUGGCUUGUGUUGGUCGUACGAGAGAAUGUACUAUUGUCCCUUCUAAUCAUUAUGGACCCAUUCCUGGUAUUCCUGUUGGAUCAACUUGGAGAUUUAGAGUUCAGGUGAGCGAAGCAGGUGUUCACAGACCCCAUGUUGGUGGAAUUCAUGGUCGAAGUAAUGAUGGGGCUUAUUCUCUUGUACUGGCUGGUGGAUUUGCGGAUGAAGUCGACCGAGGUGAUGAGUUCACAUACACUGGAAGCGGUGGUAAAAAUCUUGCUGGUAACAAAAGAAUUGGCGCACCUUCAGCUGAUCAAACAUUAACAAACAUGAACAGGUACUACUAUAGACACUGUUUAGAAUUUGAACAUUGAAUAAAAGUUUCAUUAUAGGACUGUAAAUUGUAACUUACAUUGCAGAGGAGAAUUUCAAACUGGGAGUUAAAGAUCUGAAAUUAAAAUUCCAGUGCCUGAUUAUGUAAUUGUUUAUCAGCAUCCUAACAUAUCUUUAUACUGUUAUUUUUAAAUGCCAUAAUUUCUAGUCUUACUGAAUACAUGUGAUAUGCAUUUGAAAAUGUUAACAACUUUGAAGGAAAGGAGCCUGUGUAAUUUAAGUGAAAUUGAGAAUAAGGUGGCUUGUCUACUGCUCCAUUGGUCAAAGCUAAAAGUGACAAACUCCUUUUUAGAGUAAACUCAGUAAUUUGAAAUAAAACUAUGUUUGGGAGCCACAUUUAUGUACAUAAAUGAAACAUAAGGUAACUUAAUCAGAUCUGUACUGAAUGUACUUUUAGAAUGUCUGCUAAUCAGAUAUCUUCUAAGAGUUGUUAAAGGGAAUGUUCAUUUAGUUACAAAAGUGGUCUUUUCUAACUAAAUCCCCUUAAGACAUUACAAAAGAGCCACCGUGUGCUGAUCUUUAUUCUAUAGAAAUACUAAUGACAUCUCAGCUCCCAUGGGUACAGAAAAUUUAUUAAUUUCAAAAUGUUUUAUUUUAUAAAUGCAUGCUAAUACCAAUAUUAAUAAGUAACCCAGACCACCAGAUAGCAAAAAUCACAUUAUAGUUUGUCCUGCUGAAAUUUUUGUGAACAUUUCAUAAACAGUUUUUAUAUCCUGUUAUUAAGGGUAUUUUGUCGAUUGAGUAAAAGUGAGUGUUUUUCACUUUGAGUCUAAAUCACUCAGUUUUAAGUAGUGUCCCCUUAAUUUCUGAUUACUGUGUGAUGUAAAGAAUAUACCAGUAUGAUUUCAAGACUUUCAUGCGUAUCAAUUUACAUAGAAUCUCUGUUUUUAUGUGUUCUGUAUUAUUUCUGAUAGUAGGAUUAUUUUUACUGAACCAGCAGAGGAGACAGGUCAGAUUUGCUGGUGAAAACAUUCUUGAGACAGGAGCUUAGCUGCUCUUUUCUAGCAAGAAAGCAGUCCUUCAAGAAGAAUGUCUUAAAAUAAAUAUUUUGAUGUGUUUUUGUCAAUGAAAAUGUAUCUCAAAUUUGCAAAAGGACUCUUUCAAGUUGUCAAAUCUGAAAAUUAUUUUUCCCUUUAAUAAUCGAUAAUUUUGCUUGAAAGGAACUUCCUUCAUAACUACCCACCAUUGUAAUGUACAUGUUAAGAUUCCUUUCACACUUUUGGACAAUCUGAUAAGUACCGCUACAAUCUCAGUAGAAAAUAAUUGACAAGCAGUAAACAUGUUUGCUAUAAACAGGAGAUAGUGAAAAUGAAAUAUCAACUGAAAACAAUUUAGGAUUGAAUUAUCAGAGAGACUUUAACAUCUGGUCAGUUUAUACGUUAAGUUGUGAAUACGCCUUGUGAUUGUAAAAGUGCUUGGGCAAAGGUUACCUGUAUGUCUUACAAACAUGAAAACUGAGGUGAAAGGCACUUUGCUCUGACCCAUAGUAUACUCUUUGCCCAGUAGUGUAUGGUUGAAUUCAUUUUUGCAUCUUUGCUAAGAGGUAGUUCGACACCUUGCUUCUGAGUUUAUUCCUAUUUCUUCCCCGCUCUUCAAACUUUAAGAAACUGAAGAGGGCAGCAAAGUAACCUGGCCAUCUUUUAUCAGGGCAGUCAGAGGCACCUGACUGGUUGAGUGGCAGAUAGAUUAAUGGAGGAGCUUUGUUACUGUAUUGCCUAGUUUCAUCCUCUUGGACUCUUUUCAUAUACUUGAAUAGCCUAAUUAUCCUGAAGCCAGAAGUGAGUUGACAGUGCCAGUUAGUGGUGGCAGUAAUUAUGACUGAAGGUAUCUGUGAGCAUUAAAGCAUUCCAUUCAGUGACAUGAAUGAAACUUACCCUAGCUCUUUAAGAUAAAAUAGGUGUAAUAUCUCAAUAGGUAUUCUGUAAGACGUAAUACUAGCCCUAGAGUUGAUGGCUGUGUUUUUUUCUACCUCUCAGAAUUUUAAUGCAUCUUCCUUUUAGAUU
rnacentral:sRNA from 1 species